AGAUAAAUAGCCUUUGGAUGAGAUCAGGCAAUUUUUUUUGUAUUGGUCUUGAAAUCAAAUGUUCCUCCAGACAUGUAAAAUUAAUUUCAUCCUGAAAUAGCACUGCACCCAGGGAAAUGAUGCUGAGAGCUGUAACGAAAAAAAAAACUUGAAGAUUUUGUCUAAACUUCAUGACAUGGCCAGAGGUGUUUACCUCCAAGGUUCAUUGAAUUGACUGGAAGGAUAGCUGAUCUUUCCUCUUCCUGCAAGUAAUCUUGAUAGCAGACAGAAGAAAGCUCCCAUUUCAAGAGAUCAAUGUCUGUCUUCCUUAUGAAUUGUAGUACUAAGCAACCCUGCCUCUUGCAGUGCUGGAUGUCCUGGAUAUAUUUUGGAGAAGAAAAAUAACAACAAACCACCAUCCACCCUAUCCCUUCCUAUUUGCUUUACUACAUCUCCAUGAAAUGAGAUGCAUACAGUGCCUCAAGUAAAAUAUAACAUAUUUAAGAGAAUGGAGACUCAGUAACUGCAAACACAACAGCAGAUGAUGCAAUUAGAGUUCCGUUUCGGUUUUUUGGAGGGUGCAGUCAAUUAUUUUGAAGCUGAUCAAAUUGGACAAUGGUAUUUUUGUUUACACAAUAGGCAGCAGUUUCACUUGUUCCCAAAACAAAUAUAAUAAUUAAACAGACAGUAUGUUCAGAAUUCAGGAGGGCAUGCUAUUGUUUAGGGAAGCAAAGUACUUUACAAAUAUUGUGAUAUGUGAAGUAUCAGGAAAUUUGAUCAAAGUUAAUGCAUUCUCAAAGCUGUAAAACUAAGCUGGCUAUUUCUGUACUGCAUUUGGAUUUAGGAACUAUAUCUAUAGUCUUUUAAAGCCAGCAUAAAGAAGUCAAUCUUUCUCCUCAAACCUACACACAGAAAUGUGUAAUCAUCACAUAACUGUGUACAAAGAUUAAUACUAAGGCUUGCUAACAGCACUAAAACUUUGAUUUACUGAGUUUAAGAAAAUCAAGGUGUACUAUAUAUUCAUCAAGAAUUUGGUUUAUGUAUUUACAUCUCUCUAAAAUUAUUUUUCACAUACCAUCAUCCAGUAAAUUUUUUUUUCAAUCCAUGACAAAUAAAAACCUGGACAUCUGGACAAGUGUUCAGAUUUAAUGAACUGGGGUCUUUAGUAAAAACUGUUGUGGAAAGAAAGUCCUAAAGAGGACUAAUGAUAACUAAUGUGCCAAAGUAAUAUUUACAAGGCUUGUAUUUCCAGCAAAGAAAUAAUGUUAUUUUUUGGGAGACGAAUUUUGGUCUGUUUUAGUUGUUGCAUGUAUGAAUGUACAUCCUGUGGAUUGGAGUAACACAUGAUUAGAGUCCAAGGACUGUGGACUUACUUUGUGAAACAGUAAGUCAUGGGCAUGACUGCCAAAUGUGCAAAAAAGGCUGAGAAUUAGUAGUAAUACUUGUACA